rnacentral:misc_RNA from 1 species
AUCCUAUUUGUAUUAGAAAUCCUGGAUGCACAUGGAGUAGGUUAUUAUAAAUACGGUUGUAAUAUUCUCCUCUCUAUCAUGAAAAAAGCAGAUGGCUGUCCAUGGAUGUAGGAAAAUAUGCUGAACCACAUAAAAUCCUUGGGUUCGAUCUUCUCUCUCUAUUUUCUAAUCUCUCUGUGUGUGUAUGUGGGUGUGUGUGUGUUCAUCAGUAUUUUUUGCUAACAUUGAUAGACUUCCCACAACAGAUCUCAGUUUGCAUCCUUAGCUAUAGAUAAAGUUGAUGCUAAUCAUUCUUUGUCAAUUAAGAAACUGAUAAAAAUACUAAAAUUAUACUAUUUAAGUGUGAGAAUGCAAUAUCAACACAACCCAGGCACUCGAAUAUUAUAUGCUCUAUCAUAAGGAAAAGAAAAGGAAAACAUAAGAACAUAAGCAAAUUGGAUCUUUAAUAAACAAAAACUUGCCACUCCCUAAUCAAUCAAGUAUUACCCAAAAUGUAGCACUCAAACACUUGCAACUAGUAGCUUCUUGAGUUCUUUCCCAGUUUAAAAGACUUUCUAUUCUUUAUAGACCUGAUUCCAGAAACAUAUUCUGAAUAGAAAGAGACCCAGAAAGCUCCUUAAUAACAACAAAAAUUCAAACCAUAGCAAUCUAGUGACUGUGAGCAGCAUAACAAUGUUAAGAAUAGGGGAAGUCACAUACCUUUGAUUUGUCAUUCAGAUUUUGCACUUGAG